rnacentral:misc_RNA from 1 species
AACGAGGCCGACCUGCGGCUGAGUUACCUGCGGAGGGAUCAUUAACCGUUACAAACAGUGUGUGCUGCGGCCCCCGAGGUGAGGCAACGAGCCUUCGGGAGGUCUGGGGUCCGCCCCUUCACGCGCACGCGUCUGCCAUCCUUACUUUACGAGCACCUUCUGUUCUCCCUCGGCAUGCGUCCUGCGCUGCCGUUGGAAUUACAAAACUCUUUUUUGCAUCUAGCAUUACCUGUUCCGACA